UUUGAUUGUUCUAUGGAAAGU
rnacentral:piRNA from 1 species